rnacentral:rRNA from 1 species
UACGUAGGGUGCAAGCGUUGUCCGGAAUUAUUGGGCGUAAAGAGCUCGUAGGCGGUUCGUCGCGUCGGCUGUGAAAACCUGAGGCUCAACCUCAGGCCUGCAGUCGAUACGGGCGGACUUGAGUACUGCAGGGGAGACUGGAAGUUCCUGGUGUAGCGGUGGAAUGCGCAGAUAUCAGGAGGAACACCGGUGGCGAAGGCGGGUCUCUGGGCAGUAACUGACGCUGAGGAGCGAAAGCGUGGGGAGCGAACAGG